CGUUGAAGCACCAGUUCUUGUACGAUCACAAAGUUAAGUAACGUCGAGCCGAGUCAGUACCAAGAUGGAUGACCGCUUGGGAAUAUCAGGUGCAGCAAG